rnacentral:rRNA from 1 species
GUGGCAGCCGCCGCGGUAAUACGUAGGGUGCAAGCGUUAAUCGGAAUUACUGGGCGUAAAGCGUGCGCAGGCGGUUAUGCAAGACAGAUGUGAAAUCCCCGGGCUCAACCUGGGAACUGCAUUUGUGACUGCAUGGCUAGAGUACGGUAGAGGGGGAUAGAAUUCCACGUGUAGCAGUGAAAUGCGUAGAGAUGUGGAGGAAUACCGAUGGCGAAGGCAGCCCCCUGGGAUAACACUGACGCUCAUGCACGAAAGCGUGGGGAGCAAACAGGAUUAGAUACCCUGGUAGUCCACGCCCUAAACGAUGUCAACUAGUUGUUGGGGAUUCAUUUCCUUAGUAACGUAGCUAACGCGUGAAGUUGACCGCCUGGGGAGUACGGUCGCAAGAUUAAAACUCAAAGGAAUUGGCGG